rnacentral:rRNA from 1 species
GACGAACGCUGGCGGCGUGCUUAACACAUGCAAGUCGAACGGAAAGGCCUGCUUUCCCUUGUGGAUUGCGGGUACUCGAGUGGCGAACGGGUGAGUAACACGUGAGUGAUCUGCCCCCAACUUGGGUAUAAGCCUGGGAAACUGGGUCUAAUUCCCGAUAGGACUGCAGGGUGGUGCCUGUGGUGGAAAACGAUUUUCUAGUGGUUGGGGAUGAGCUCGCGGCCUAUCAGCUUGUUGGUGGGGUAAUGGCCUACCAAGGCGGCGACGGGUAGCCGGCCUGAGAGGGUGGACGGCCACAUUGGGACUGAGAUACGGCCCAGACUCCGACGGGGGGCAGCAGUGGGGAAUAUUGCACAAUGGGCGGAAGCCUGAUGCAGCGACGCCGCGUGGGGGAUGACGGCCUUCGGGUUGUAAACUCCUUUCGACCGCGAGGAAGCCACCUGGUUGGAAGGGUGGUGACGGUAGUGGUAGAAGAAGCACCGGCUAACUACGUG